rfam:Populus trichocarpa isolate Nisqually-1 chromosome 1, whole genome shotgun sequence.
UCUAGAACUCGAGAUAUGGGUUGAACACUGAACAGUGUCUAGGCUGCAGGACAGAUUCCGACUUCUCUGUUGUUACUACCAUUUGAACUCGAAAAUGGAACUUUUAAAUCUUGAACUCUUUAUGAAAGUUUUAGGCUUAUGUCUUAGCUUUCCAUA